rnacentral:rRNA from 1 species
CAUGCNAGUCGAACGAUGAAGCCCACCUUGUUGGGUGGAUUAGUGGCGAACGGGUGAGUAACACGUGAGUAACCUGCCCUUAACUCUGGGAUAAGCCUGGGAAACUGGGUCUAAUACCGGAUAUGACUCCUCAUCGCAUGGUGGGGGGUGGAAAGCUUUAUUGUGGUUUUGGAUGGACUCGCGGCCUAUCAGCUUGUUGGUGAGGUAAUGGCUUACCAAGGCGACGACGGGUAGCCGGCCUGAGAGGGUGACCGGCCACACUGGGACUGAGACACGGCCCAGACUCCUACGGGAGGCAGCAGA